UACGAAGGGGGCUAGCGUUGCUCGGAAUUACUGGGCGUAAAGGGCGCGUAGGCGGGUCGUUUAGUUAGAGGUGAAAGCCCAGGGCUCAACCCUGGAAUUGCCUUUAAUACUGGCGGCCUUGAGUAUGGCAGAGGUGUGUGGAACUCCGAGUGUAGAGGUGAAACUCGUAGAUAUUCGGAAGAACACCAGUGGCGAAGGCGACACACUGGGCCAUUACUGACGCUGGAGGCGGCGGAAAAGCGUGGGGGAGCAAACAGG
rnacentral:rRNA from 1 species